AUUAGCCCAGCAGUUAGCACUGAAGGUACAAUGCUAAUGUAGCUAACAGGUGAGGGAAACCAAUUAGCCCAGCAGUUAGCACUGAAGGUACAAUGCUAAUGUAGCUAACAGUUAAAGAAAGACAAUUAGCCCAGCAGUUAGCACUGAAGGUACAAUGCUAAUGUAGCUAACAGUUAAAGAAAGACAAUUAGCCCAGCAGUUAGCACUGAAGGUACAAUGCUAAUGUAGCUAACAGUUAAAGAAAGACAAUUAGCCCAGCAGUUAGCACUGAAGGUACAAUGCUAAUGUAGCUAACAGUUAAAGAAAGAGAAUUAGCCCAGCAGUUAGCACUGAAGGUACAAGGCUAAUGUAGCUAACAGGUGAGGAAAGACAAUUAGCCCAGCAGUUAGC